UACGUAGGUGGCGAACGUUAUCCGGAAUUAUUGGGCGUAAAGGGCGCGUAGACGGCCGAAUAAGUUGAUGGUGGUAAAUCGAGGCUCAACCUCGUGGAAGCCAGCAAUACUGUUAGGCUAGAGGAUAGGAGAGGUUAACGGAACUCCCGGUGGAGCGGUAAAAUGCGUAGAUCUCGGGAAGAACACCAAUAACGGCGAAGGCAGUUAACUAGUCUAAUUCUGACGUUGAGGCGCGAAAGCGUGGGGAGCAAAAAGG
rnacentral:rRNA from 1 species